GUCCUAGCCGUAAACGGUGAUCACUAGGUGUUGGGAGCAUCGACCCUUCCAGUGCCGCAGCUAACGCAUUAAGUGAUCCGCCUGGGGAGUACGGCCGCAAGGUUGAAACUCAAAGGAAUUGACGGGGGCCCCGCACAAGCGGUGGAGCAUGUGGUUCAAUUCGACGCAACGCGAAGAACCUUACCCAGACUUGACAUGUACUGGACAGGUGUGGAAACACAUCCUUCCUUCGGGACCAGUGCACAGGUGCUGCAUGGCUGUCGU
rnacentral:rRNA from 1 species